rnacentral:rRNA from 1 species
UCGAGCGGACGGAAGGGAGCUUGCUCCCGGAAGUCAGCGGCGGACGGGUGAGUAACACGUGGGCAACCUGCCUGUAAGACUGGGAUAACUUCGGGAAACCGGAGCUAAUACCGGAUAAUCCUUUCCUUCACAUGAAGGGGAGCUGAAAGACGGUUUCGGCUGUCACUUACAGAUGGGCCCGCGGCGCAUUAGCUAGUUGGUGAGGUAAUGGCUCACCAAGGCAACGAUGCGUAGCCGACCUGAGAGGGUGAUCGGCCACACUGGGACUGAGACACGGCCCAGACUCCUACGGGAGGCAGCAGUAGGGAAUCUUCCGCAAUGGACGAAAGUCUGACGGAGCAACGCCGCGUGAGCGAUGAAGGCUUUCGGGUCGUAAAGCUCUGUUGUCAGGGAAGAACAAGUACCGGAGUAACUGCCGGUACCUUGACGGUACCUGACCAGAAAGCCACGGCUAACUACGUGCCAGCAGCCGCGGUAAUACGUAGGUGGCAAGCGUUGUCCGGAAUUAUUGGGCGUAAAGCGCGCGCAGGCGGUCCUUUAAGUCUGAUGUGAAAGCCCACGGCUCAACCGUGGAGGGUCAUUGGAAACUGGGGGACUUGAGUGCAGAAGAGGAGAGUGGAAUUCCACGUGUAGCGGUGAAAUGCGUAGAGAUGU